UCAUUUAUAAUUUUUUUACAACAAAAUUUUGUUAAUUUUGUUUAGUCUUUUAAAUCACAUCAAUAAUUCUUUAAGCCCUAUUUCAACAUACUGUGUAUUUCAUUAACAUGCUUGAUCAUGGCUCGCAUACGGCGUUGGCCAUUGGCAGGUUGAUGCGAGGUGCUGGUUUGGUGGAGCAACAAUAGGGGGAUGUUUGGUUAGAGG
rnacentral:lncRNA from 1 species